GAUGAACGCUGGCGGCGUGCUUAACACAUGCAAGUCGAACGGAAAGGCUCCUGCUUGCUGGGGUACUCGAGUGGCGAACGGGUGAGUAACACGUGGGUGAUCUGCCCUGCACUUCGGGAUAAGCCUGGGAAACUGGGUCUAAUACCGGAUAGGACGAUGGUUUGGAUGCCAUUGUGGAAAGUUUUUCGGUGUGGGAUGAGCUCGCGGCCUAUCAGCUUGUUGGUGGGGUAAUGGCCUACCAAGGCGUCGACGGGUAGCCGGCCUGAGAGGGUGUACGGCCACAUUGGGACUGAGAUACGGCCCAGACUCCUACGGGAGGCAGCAGUGGGGAAUAUUGCACAAUGGGCGCAAGCCUGAUGCAGCGACGCCGCGUGGGGAAUGACGGCCUUCGGGUUGUAAACUCCUUUCGCUAGGGACGAAGCGCAAGUGACGGUACCUGGAGAAGAAGCACCGGCUAACUACGUG
rnacentral:rRNA from 1 species